rnacentral:rRNA from 1 species
UGGGGAAUAUUGCACAAUGGGCGCAAGCCUGAUGCAGCAACGCCGCGUGAACGAUGAAGGUCUUCGGAUCGUAAAGUUCUGUUGCAGGGGAAGAUAAUGACGGUACCCUGUGAGGAAGCCCCGGCUAACUACGUGCCAGCAGCCGCGGUAAUACGUAGGGGGCUAGCGUUAUCCGAAUUUACUGGGCGUAAAGGGUGCGUAGGUGGUCUUUCAAGUCGGUGGUUAAAGGCUACGGCUCAACCGUAGUUAGCCUCCGAAACUGGAAGACUUGAGUGCAGGAGAGGAAAGUGGAAUUCCCAGUGUAGCGGUGAAAUGCGUAGAUAUUGGGAGGAACACCAGUAGCGAAGGCGGCUUUCUGGACUGCAACUGACACUGAGGCACGAAAGCGUGGGUAGCAAACAGG